UACGGAGGGGGCUAGCGUUAUUCGGAAUUACUGGGCGUAAAGCGCACGUAGGCGGAUCUGCAAGUCAGAGGUGAAAUCCCAGGGCUCAACCUUGGAACUGCCUUUGAAACUGCGGGUCUUGAGUUCGAGAGAGGUGAGUGGAAUUCCGAGUGUAGAGGUGAAAUGCGUAGAGAUGUGGAGGAAUACCGAUGGCGAAGGCAGCCCCCUGGGAUAACACUGACGCUCAUGUACGAAAGCGUGGGUAGCAAACAGG
rnacentral:rRNA from 1 species